rnacentral:rRNA from 1 species
GAUGAACGCUGGCGGCGUGCCUAAUACAUGCAAGUCGAGCGAACGGACGAGAAGCUUGCUUCUCUGAUGUUAGCGGCGGACGGGUGAGUAACACGUGGAUAACCUACCUAUAAGACUGGGAUAACUUCGGGAAACCGGAGCUAAUACCGGAUAAUAUUUUGAACCGCAUGGUUCAAAAGUGAAAGACGGUCUUGCUGUCACUUAUAGAUGGAUCCGCGCUGCAUUAGCUAGUUGGUAAGGUAACGGCUUACCAAGGCAACGAUGCAUAGCCGACCUGAGAGGGUGAUCGGCCACACUGGAACUGAGACACGGUCCAGACUCCUACGGGAGGCAGCAGUAGGGAAUCUUCCGCAAUGGGCGAAAGCCUGACGGAUCAACGCCGCGUGAGUGAUGAAGGUCUUCGGAUCGUAAAACUCUGUUAUUAGGGAAGAACAUAUGUGUAAGUAACUGUGCACAUCUUGACGGUACCUAAUCAGAAAGCCACGGCUAACUACGUGCCAGCAGCCGCGGUAAUACGUAGGUGGCAAGCGUUAUCCGGAAUUAUUGGGCGUAAAGCGCGCGUAGGCGGUUUUUUAAGUCUGAUGUGAAAGCCCACGGCUCACCCGUGGAGGGUCAUUGGAAACUGGAAAACUUGAGUGCAGAAGAGGAAAGUGGAAUUCCAUGUGUAGCGGUGAAAUGCGCAGAGAUAUGGAGGAACACCAGUGGCGAAGGCGACUUUCUGGUCUGUAACUGACGCUGAUGUGCGAAAGCGUGGGGAUCAAACAGGAUUAGAUACCCUGGUAGUCCACGCCGUAAACGAUGAGUGCUAAGUGUUAGGGGGUUUCCGCCCCUUAGUGCUGCAGCUAACGCAUUAAGCACUCCGCCUGGGGAGUACGACCGCAAGGUUGAAACUCAAAGGAAUUGACGGGGACCCGCACAAGCGGUGGAGCAUGUGGUUUAAUUCGAAGCAACGCGAAGAACCUUACCAAAUCUUGACAUCCUUUGACAACUCUAGAGAUAGAGCUUUCCCCUUCGGGGGACAGAGUGACAGGUGGUGCAUGGUUGUCGUCAGCUCGUGUCGUGAGAUGUUGGGUUAAGUCCCGCAACGAGCGCAACCCUUAAGCUUAGUUGCCAUCAUUAAGUUGGGCACUCUAAGUUGACUGCCGGUGACAAACCGGAGGAAGGUGGGGAUGACGUCAAAUCAUCAUGCCCCUUAUGAUUUGGGCUACACACGUGCUACAAUGGACAAUACAAAGGGCAGCGAAACCGCGAGGUCAAGCAAAUCCCAUAAAGUUGUUCUCAGUUCGGAUUGUAGUCUGCAACUCGACUACAUGAAGCUGGAAUCGCUAGUAAUCGUAGAUCAGCAUGCUACGGUGAAUACGUUCCCGGGUCU